GAUGAACGCUGGCGGCGUGCCUAAUACAUGCAAGUCGAGCGAACGGACGAGAAGCUUGCUUCUCUGAUGUUAGCGGCGGACGGGUGAGUAACACGUGGAUAACCUACCUAUAAGACUGGGAUAACUUCGGGAAACCGGAGCUAAUACCGGAUAAUAUUUUGAACCGCAUGGUUCAAAAGUGAAAGACGGUCUUGCUGUCACUUAUAGAUGGAUCCGCGCCGCAUUAGCUAGUUGGUAAGGUAACGGCUUACCAAGGCAACGGUGCAUAGCCGACCUGAGAGGGUGAUCGGCCACACUGGAACUGAGACACGGUCCAGACUCCUACGGGAGGCAGCAGUAGGGAAUCUUCCGCAAUGGGCGAAAGCCUGACGGAGCAACGCCGCGUGAGUGAUGAAGGUCUUCGGAUCGUAAAACUCUGUUAUUAGGGAAGAACAUAUGUGUAAGUAACUGUGCACAUCUUGACGGUACCUAAUCAGAAAGCCACGGCUAACUACGUGCCAGCAGCCGCGGUAAUACGUAGGUGGCAAGCGUUAUCCGGAAUUAUUGGGCGUAAAGCGCGCGUAGGCGGUUUUUUAAGUCUGAUGUGAAAGCCCACGGCUCAACCGUGGAGGGUCAUUGGAAACUGGAAAACUUGAGUGCAGAAGAGGAAAGUGGAAUUCCAUGUGUAGCGGUGAAAUGCGCAGAGAUAUGGAGGAACACCAGUGGCGAAGGCGACUUUCUGGUCUGUAACUGACGCUGAUGUGCGAAAGCGUGGGGAUCAAACAGGAUUAGAUACCCUGGUAGUCCACGCCGUAAACGAUGAGUGCUAAGUGUUAGGGGGUUUCCGCCCCUUAGUGCUGCAGCUAACGCAUUAAGCACUCCGCCUGGGGAGUACGACCGCAAGGUUA
rnacentral:rRNA from 1 species